ACUCCUACGGGAGGCAGCAGUGGGGAAUAUUGCACAAUGGGCGCAAGCCUGAUGCAGCCAUGCCGCGUGUAUGAAGAAGGCCUUCGGGUUGUAAAGUACUUUACAGGCAGUGNGAAGGUGGGUAUGUUAAUAGCAUAUUCAUUUGACGUUAGCUGCAGAAGAAGCACCGGCUAACUCCGUGCCAGCAGCCGCGGUAAUACGGAGGGUGCGAGCGUUAAUCGGAAUUACUGGGCGUAAAGCGCAUGCAGGUGGUUUGUUAAGUCAGAUGUGAAAGCCCGGGGCUCAACCUCGG
rnacentral:rRNA from 1 species